rnacentral:rRNA from 1 species
GAUGAACGCUGGCGGCGUGCCUAAUACAUGCAAGUCGAGCGAAUGGAUUAAGAGCUUGCUCUUAUGAAGUUAGCGGCGGACGGGUGAGUAACACGUGGGUAACCUGCCCAUAAGACUAGGAUAACUCCGGGAAACCGGGGCUAAUACCGGAUAAUAUUUUGAACUGAAUGGUUCAAAAUUGAAAGGCGGCUUCGGCUGUCACUUAUGGAUGGACCCGCGUCGCAUUAGCGAGUUGGUGAGGUAACGGCUCACCAAGGCAACGAUGCGUAGCCGACCUGAGAGGGUGACCGGCCACGCUGGGACUGAGACACGGCCCAGACUCCUACGGGAGGCAGCAGUGGGGAAUAUUGCACAAUGGGCGCAAGCCUGAUGCAGCAACGCCGCGUGAGUGAUGAAGGCUUUCGGGUCGUAAAACUCUGUUGUUAGGGAAGAACAAGUGCUAGUUGAAUAAGCUGGCACCUUGACGGUACCUAACCAGAAAGCCACGGCUAACUACGUGCCAGCCGCCGCCUAA